UACAGAGGGGGCAAGCGUUAUUCGGAAUUAUUGGGCGUAAAGGGCGCGUAGGCGGCUUUUCAAGUGACGGGUGAAAAUCCCUCGGCUUAACCGAGGAACUGCCUGUCAGACUGGAAGGCUUGAGACCGGGAGAGGUGAGUGGAAUUCCCAGUGUAGCGGUGAAAUGCGUAGAUAUUGGGAGGAACACCAGUGGCGAAGGCGGCUCACUGGACCGGAACUGACGCUGAGGCGCGAAAGCGGAGGGAGCAAAC
rnacentral:rRNA from 1 species